GUCAGCAGGCGACGCUGGGAGGCUGGGGUAGGCCCAGAGCGAGGACGGGCCCGGACUGGGUAGUGGGGAUGUACCAGGGCCGGGUGCGGCGGGAGACGGCCCGGGAGGCGGAAGGUCGCGGACCUGCCCGACAGAAGAGUAGAUGAGGGGAGACCGAGGACGCCCGGGUCCGGGGAGCUUACGAGGAGGCCAGGAUCGCGGGAUUGACAUACGUGGUGUCAGAAGUGAGACCUGAAGAAAAGUUCACUAUUGAAAGGAAUCAGCUAUGCUUGGAACCAGUUUGCAGAGUACUCACUUGAACUCUUUGAGCUCUCCACUUCCACAGCUUGCCUUUUCUGGCUUGGUGAGUCUUCUCUCAGGUUGAGCCUCCCUCCUUCAGGUAGAAGCUUUUUUACUUUAUUUGGGAUCUGGUGUGGAUAAGGCAAUCUUAAUAAAAGAUCUUGUGUACCUUCUGGGACUAUAAAAGGUUUUUUUGUGUGUGUCUUUUCUGGUAUAAAGAUAAGCAUCUUUCUGAAUUGAGGACUCUUGGUUUCUACAGAAUUUACAUUCUGUCUGUGAGGCAUGUCUUCCCUGGUUUGCAUGCCUAGUUUAAUAUUUCAUUUGUUCUGCACAACUGGGUUAAAAUGUUGGCAAAAACUCUUAUCUUGAUCUAUUUUUAUUUGGUUUGACUCUUUCUUCUUGCUUGUUUCUGAAAAUCUUCCAAGAGCCGAAACAAACUUUUUUUUUUUUUUUUUUUUUUUUUUUGAGAUGGAGUCUCACUCUUUCGCCCAGGCUAGAGUGCAGUGGCCAAUCUCGGCUCACUGCAAGCUCCGCCCCCUGGGUUCACACCACUCUCCUGCCUCAGCCUCCCGAGUAGCUGGGACUACAGGCACCUGCCACCGCACCUGGCUAAUUUUUUUUUUGUAUUUUUAGUAGAGACGGGGUUUCACCAUAUUGGCCAGGAUUGUCUCGAUCUCCUGACCUCAUGAUCUGCCUGCCUCGGCCUCCCAAAGUGCUGGGAUUACAGGCGUGAGCCACCGCGCCCGGCCAAACCAAAACAAACAUUCUUGGCGGUGGGUGCAGGACAGCUAAUUAAACAUCACUAGAGUGGUUGCCUCAGCUAAAACAAUAGUCUAAACUCCUGAUAUUCCCUGAAAGGAUUUGUAGAGUAUUCUUUGCUCUCAAGAAAUUAAUAAGAAAUGGAAUGAUCUUUUCAAACAUUAAGGCAGGCAAGGUUUUCUGGGACUCUCAGGCUGGUCUUGAGCCUCAAGCAAUACUCCCACCUCAGCCUCCCAAUGUGCUAGAAUUAUAGGCGUAAGUCAUCAUGCCUGGCCCCAUUUCUUAAGGUAAUUUUGUUUGAAGCUUUUCAGAUUUAUAUCUAAGAAGUUCAACUUUUGCUGUACUUCACUGUAUGAGAUGUGCAGAGCAUACAUCAUGGCCUCUGUUAUUUCUCUCCUUGAAAAGGUAUAUCUUUUUGCUUGGCUGGAGUGAUAACUCUGUCCUUCAACUGUUUCAUCAACUCCUAUAACAUUUUUUCUCUGGUUCCAACUCUGCUGUUGUGGCCUGACGCUGACAUGUUUGUCUUGAAGGUGUACAAAAGCAAUGUUUUUCUACAGAGUAACUUGAUUCUCUAGUCUUGGCUUUUCUUGAUGUGUCUGAAUUGUUCCAUGUAACCAGGAAACUCCCCAUGCUUUUUCUGAGAUCCAGCUAUUUUUCUAUUCAAUGUACUAGUUUUUUUGUUUAUAUUCCUUUAUAAUGUAGCGUACAUUCAAGAUGCUGGUCACAUUCUUCCUGUGUCUACUUAAUUCAAAUACCGUUUUCAUCAAGUUUAACUUCCAGGUUAUGUAAACAGGCUUCCCCUAAGGAGAAGCAAUUACACUGUAGGAAAUUUUUCUUUUCUUUUUUGGUAACUGGGCUUUAAAGAGACAAAACAAAGAUCUUAGUUUAGUUUAGCUUUUUGAGAUGGGGUCUUGCUCUGUCGACCAGGCUGGUUUUGAACUCCUGGCCUUAAAUGAUCCUUCCAUUUCAGCAAGACUUUACAUUUUAUCAAGAUAAUUCAUAUAUUAUCUUUAUUGGGUUUCAAUUAGCUGGAUAACUGAGCUUUUAAAGGGUUAGGUUUCUACAUCCAUGUAACUUUCUGUAUUGCUUUUGGUCUUUUUAUUAUUAUUUUGCUGUGAUUCUGUUUUAAUCGAAUGUUUUGAACCUUUUGACAUUAUUGGCCAAUUUCCCCAGGAUCAGAAUCCUAAGUCUUUUUGGCCCAAAAUUAACAUUGGGAUUUCUAGUUGGACCCCUGGGAAGCCUCAAAGAAUAUGUCUCUCAUCUUAUAGAGAUAGUAAAUGAUUCGGCUUAUUUGGCAAAUUGCAUAGGAGGCGUUGUGAAAUGACAAAUGAUACUAGAUAUUCUUUCAGUUACAUUAUGGGUAUAUUAUUAGUAUAAAUGUUCCAAAAAUUAUAUAAACAUAAAAAUUUAAUAUGUUAUUAGUCAUAAUUUUGAUUAUUGUGUUGAAACUUUUAAGUUAUAUUUAUAUGGAUAUGUUAUUAAUAUGAGUAUUAUAAAGAUUAUAUAAAAUUUGGUCAGAUGCGGUGGCUCACACCUGUAAUCUCAGCACUUUGGGAGGCUGAGGUGGGCAGAUCACCUGAGGUCAGGAGUUUGAGAUAAGCCUGGCCAACAUGAUGAAACCCCAUCUCUAUUAAAAAUAUGAAAAUUGGCCGGGUGCGGUGGCUCACGCCUGUAAUCCCAGCACUUUGGGAGGCCUAGGCGGGCAGAUCACGAGGUCAAGAGAUAGAGACCAUUCUGGCCAAUAUGGUGAAACCCCAUCUAUACUAAAAAUACAACAAAAAAAUUAGCCGGGUGUGGUGGCAGGCACCUGUAGUCCCAGCUACUCAGGAGGCUGAGGCAGGAGAAUGGCGUGAAGCCGGGAGGUGGAGCUUGCAGUGAGCCGAGAUCGCGCCACUGCACUCUGGCCUGGGCGAUAGAGCGAGACUCUGCCUCAAAAAAAAAAUAAAUGAAAAUGAAAAUUAGCCGAGUGUGGUGGCUGGUGCCUGUAAUCCCAGCUACUUGGGAGGCUGAGACAGGAGAAUCGCUUAAACCUAGGAGGCAGAGGUUGUAGUGAGCAGAGAUCGUGCCAUUGCACUCCAGCCUGGGUGACGAGAGUGAAACUCCAUCUCAAAAAAUAAUAAAAUAAAAUAAAAUGUAUAGGCUGGGAGUGGUGGCUCAUGCCUGUAAUCCCAGCACUUUGGGAGGCCAAGGCGGGCAGAUCACCUGAGGUUGGGAGUUUGAGACCAGCCUGGCCAACAUGAAACUCCAUCUCUACUAAAAAUACAAAAAUUAACCAAGCAUGGUGGUGCGUGCCUGUAAUCCCAGCUACUCGGGAGGCUGAGGCAAGAGAAUCGCUUGAACCCAGGUGGAGGAGGUGGCAGUGAGCCAAGAUCACUCCAUUACACUCCAGCCUGGGCGACAAGAACGAAACUGUUUCAAAAAAAAAAAAAAUUUAUAAAAGUCUAAUGGUCCUGAUAUGACACUGUCAGUCAUGAUACUGGGUUUUCUUUUCUUUUCUUUUCUUUUCUUUUCUUCUUUGAGAUGCAGCCUCGCCCUGUCACCCAGGCUGGAGUGCGAUGGCGCGAUCUCGGCUCACUGCAAACUCUGCCUCCUGGGUUCAAACGAUUCUCCUGCCUCAGCCUCCGGAGUAGCUGGGAUUACAGGUGUGCGCCAACAUGCCCAGCUAAUUUUUGUAUUUUUAGUAGAGACAGGGUUUCACCAUGUUGGCCAGGCAGGUCUGGAACCCCUGACCUCAGAUGAUCUGCCUGCCUUGUCCUCCCAAAUUGCUGGGAUCACAGGCAUGAGCCACCACUCCCUGCCUAACAAGUACUCUUGAACACAGAUUUCUGAUAACUUUAAGAUCAAUGAACUAAAUAAAAAUUUCCAGAACUCUAAUAAAGAAACGGAUGGGUUUGGCCAAGUGUGUUGGCUCACGCUUGUAAUCCCAGGACUUUGGGAGGCCAAGGCAGGCAGAUUGCUGGAGCCCAGGAGCUUGAGACCAGCCUGGGUAACAUGGCAAAACCUCGUCUCUCAAAAAAAUACAAAAAAUUAGCUAGGUAUGAUGGUGUGAGUUUCUAGUACCAGCUACUUGGAAGGCUGAGGUGGGAGAAUCACCUGAGCCUGUGAAGUUGAGGCUGCAGUGAGCCAUGAUUCCACCACUGCACUCGAGCCUGGGUGUUAGAGUGAAAACCUGUCUCAAAGAAUAAAAGAAGAAAAGAAACUGAUGGGUUUUAUGAAUCAAGCAAAAAGCAAAACAAGACAUCAAUUACAUGAAAUUUAAGUAGUUGAUAAAUACAAUGUUUUUAUGGCUUUUAUUUAAGACGUUGUUGGCUCUUUACUAAAAUGUUUUGUUUUUCAGAUUUAAGGAAUUCUUCUCUCAUAAGCUAUCUAUAGUUGACAGCAAUUUCUGUUUUUUUUAAUUAUACUUUAAGUUAUAGGGUACACAUGCACAACGUGCAGGUUUGUUACAUAUGUAUACAUGUGCCAUGUUGGUGUGCUGCACCCAUUAACUCGUCAUUUACAUUAGGUAUAUCUCCUAAUGCUAUCCCUCCCCCCUCCCCCCACCCCACGACAAGCCCCAGUGUGUGAUGUUCCCCACCCUGUGUCCAAGUGUUCUCACUGUUCAAUUCCUACCUAUGAGUGAGAACAUGCAGUGGUUGGUUUUCUAUCCUUGCGAUAGUUUGCUCAGAAUGAUAGUUUCCAGCUUCAUCCAUGUCCCUACAAAGGACGUGAACUCAUCCUUUUUUAUGGCUGCAUAGUAUUCCAUGGUGUAUAUGUGCCACAUUUUCUUAAUCCAGUCUAUCAUUGAUGGACAUUUGGGUUGGUUCCAAGUCUUUGCUAUUGUGAAUAGUGCCGCAAUAAACAUACGUGUGCAUGUGUCUUUAUAGCAGCAUGAUUUAUAAUCUUUGGGUGUAUACCCAGUAAUGGGAUGGCUAGGUCAAAUGGUAUUUCUAGUGUGGAAUUGUCACACUGUCUUCCACAAUGGUUGAACUAGUUUACAGUCCCACCAACAGUGUAAAAGUGAUCCUAUUUCUGCACAUCCUCUCCAGCACCUGUUAUUUCCUGACUUUUUAAUGAUCACCAUUCUAACUGGUAUGAGAUGGUAUCUCAUUGUGGUUUUGAUUUGCAUUUCUCUGAUGGCCUAUGAUGAUGAGCAUUUUUUUAUGUGUCUGUUGGCUGCAUAAAUGUCUUCUUUUGAGAAGUGUCUGUUCAUACCCUUUGCCCACUUUUUGAUGGGGUUGUUUGAUUUUUUCUUGUAAAUUUGUUUAAGUUCUUUGUAGAUUCUGGAUAUUAGCCUUUUGUCAGAUGGGUAGAUUGUAAAAAUUUUCUCCCAUUCUGUAGGUUGCCUUUUCACUCUGAUGGUAGUUUCUUUUGCUAUGCAGAAGCUCUUUAGUUUAAUUAGAUCCCAUUUGUCAAUUUUGCCUUUUGUUGCCAUUGCUUUUGGUGUUUUAGUCAUGAAGUCCUUGACUUUGUCUGUGGCCUGAAUUGUAUUGCCUAGGUUUUCUUCUAGGGUUUUUAUGGUUUUAGGUCUAACAUUUAAGCCUUUAAUCCAUCUUGAAUUAAUUUUUGUAUAAGGUGUAAGGAAGGGAUCCAGUUUCAGCUUUCUACAUAUGGCUAGCCAGUUUUCCCAGCAUCAUUUAUUAAAUAGGGAAUCCUUACCCCAUUUCUUGUUUUUGUCAGGUUUGUCAAAGAUCAGAUGGUUGUAGAUGUGUGGUGUUAUUUCUGAGGGCUCUGUUCGUUCCACUGGUCUAUAUCUCUGUUUUGGUACCAGUACCAUGCCGUUUUGGUUCCUGUAGCCUUGUAGUAUAGUUUGAAGUCAGGUAGUGUGAUGCCUCCAGCUUUGUUCUUUUGGCUUAGGAUUGACUUGGCAAUGCGGGCUCUUUUUUGGUUCCAUAUGAACUUUAAAGUAAUUUUUCCCACUUCUGUGAAGAAAAUCAUUGGUAGCUUGAUGGGGAUGGCAUUGAAUCUAUAAAUUACCUUGGGCAGUAUGGCCAUUUUCAUGAUAUUGAUUCUUCCUACCCAUGAGCAUGGAAUAUUCUUCCAUUUGUUUGUGUCCUCUUAUUUUUUUGAGCAGUGGUUUGUAGUUCUCCUUGAAGAGGUCCUUCACAUCCCUUGUAAGUUGGAUUCCUAGGUAUUUUAUUCUCUUUGAAGCAGUUGUGAAUGGGAGUUCACUCAUGAUUUGGCUCUCUGUUUGUCUGUUAUUGCUGUAUAGGAAUGCUUGUGAUUUUUGCACAUUGGAUCCUGAGACUUUGCUGAAGUUGUUUAUCAGCUUAAGGAGAUUUUGGGCUGAGACAAUGGGGUUUUCUAAAUAUACAAUCAUGUCAUCUGCAAACAGGGACAAUUUGCCUUCCUCUUUUUCUAAUUGAAUACCCUUUAUUUCUUUCUCCUGCCUGAUUGCCCUGGCCAGAACUUCCGACACUAUGUUGAAUAGGAGUGGUGAGAGAGGGCAUCCCUGUCUUGUGGCAGUUUUCAAAGGGAAUGCUUCCAGUUUUUGCCCCUUCAGUAUGAUAUUGGCUGUGGGUUUGUCAUAAAUAACUCUUAUUAUUUUGAGAUACGUUCCAUCAAUACCUAGUUUAUUGAGAGUUUUUAGCAUGAAGGGCUAUUGAAUUUUGUUGAAGGCCUUUUCUGCAUCUAUUGAGAUAAUCAUGUGUUUUUUGUCUUUGGUUCUGUUUAUAUGAUGGAUUACAUUUAUUGAUUUGGGUAUGUUGAACCAGCCUUGCAUCCCAGGGAUGAAGUCCACUUGAUCAUGGUGGAUAAGCUUUGUGAUGUGCUGCUGAAUUCGUUUUGCCAGUAUUUUAUUGAGGAUUUUUGCAUCAAUGUUCAUCAGGGAUAUUGGUCUAAAAUUAUCUUUUUUUGUUGUGUCUCUGCCCUGCUUUGGUAUCAGGAUGAUGCUGGCCUCAUAAAAUGAGUUAGGGAGGAUUCCCUCUUUUUCUAUUGAUUGGAAUAGUUUCAGAAGGAAUGGUACCAGCUCCUCUUUGUACCUCUGAUAGAAUUUGGCUGUGAAUCCAUCUGGUCCUGGACUUAUUUUGGUUGGUGGGCUAUUAAUUAUUGCCUCAAUUUCAGAGCCUGUUAUUGGUCUAUUCAGAGAUUCAACUUCUUCCUGGUUUAGUCUUGUGAGGGUGUAUGUGUCCAGGAAUUUAUCCAUGUCUUCUAGAUUUCCUAAUUUAUUUGCAUAGAGGUGUUUAUAGUAUUCUUUGAUGGUAGUUUGUAUUUCUGUGGGAUCAGUGGUGGUAUCCCCUUUAUCAUUUUUUAUUGUGAGUUGACAGCAAUUUCAUAAAGUGUCCUUUUUGAACAAAGAUGGAAGCAUUUGCUUUUUCUCCCUACUUGAUUCCUUCAAAAGUUGGAAACUAUUUGUGAGUAUUCUUAUUUUUAUUUUUACUUUAUUUUAUUAUUAUUAUUAUUAUUAUUUUGGAGAUGGAGUCUCACUCUGUUAUCUAGGCUGGUGUGCAGUGGCACCAUCUCGGCUCACUACCAUCUCUGCCUCCUGGGUUCAAGUGAUUAUCCCGACUCAGCUUCCUGAGUAGCUGAGAUUACAGACACGGACCAUCAUGCCCAGCUAAUGUUUGUAUUUUUAGUAGAGACGGGGUUUCACCACAUUCAUCAGGCUAGUCUUGAACUCAUGACCUCAGGUGAUCCACCUGCCUCAGCCUCCCAAAGUGCUGGGACUGCAGACGUGAGCCACCACACCCAGUGUUUUUUUUUUUUUUUGAGAUGGAGUCUCGGUCUGUCUCUGGAGUGCAGUGGUGCGAUCUCAGCUCACUGCAACCUCUACCUCCCAGGUUCAAGUGAUUCUCCUGCCGCAGCCUACCAAGUAGCCGGUAUUAUAUACAUGCGCCACCAUGCCUGGCUAAUUUUUGUAUUUUUAGUAGAGACAGGUUUCACAAUGUAGGCCAGGCUGUCUCAAACUCCCAACCUCAGGCGAUCUGCCCUCCUUGGCCUCCCAAAGUUCUGGGAUUACAGGUGUGAGCCACUGCACCCAGCUGUAUUCUUAUUUUUAUUUAAAUAAGUUCAAUAAAAAUCUGCUCUCUAUAUAAGGAGGAUACAAUUGGAACACUGGUUUUACUACCAAGGCUUUGACUGAAAUGUCUUAAAAAUGUACAUGAAAUGCCUGGCUUCAAGAAUUCCCAGCCUUAUAGUGAGUGAAUAAAAACAGUCACUUCCCAGCAGGCCCAAGAACAUUAUAAGUAAAAUCUAAAGUCUCCUUUGUUUGCCUUCCUCGCCUUAAGAAAUUUUUAAAUUGGCCAGGCGCCGUGGCUCACGCCUGUAAUCCCAGCACUUGGGGAGGCCGAGGCGGGUGGAUCACGAGGUCAGGAGAUCGAGACCAUCCAGGCUAACACGGUGAAAUCCCGUCUCUACUAAAAAUGCAAAAGAUUAGCCAGGCAUGGUGGCAGGCGCCUGUCAUCCCAGCUACUCAGGAGGCUGAGGCAGGAGAAUGGCGUGAACCCAGGAGGCGGAGCUUGCAGUAAGCCAAGAUCGCACCACUGUACUCCAGCCUGGGUAACACAGUGGGACUCCAUCUCAAAAAAAAAAAAAGAAAAGAAAUUUUUAAAUCUGAGAUUCAUGUAUGCUCAAUAUAGAGAUAAAAAUUUAUGUUUCUAAAGAGAAACUAUAAUACAUCUUUUGUUAUGUAGUAGCCCUGUGCCUUACUUCCAAGUUCUUGUUAUCUGCCUGUAGACUGGAGUAGGUCCUGAAGCCUCCUACUUUCUCCAAUAUUUGGCUGCAGCUUUCACCCUCAAAAUGAAAGCUGCUCUAUUCCUAAAGUCCUAUAAGCUAACAUUAGAUUAAUUUUAAGGAACAAGCCUCAUGCUUGGUGUGUGUGCCACGCAAAAAGUUCACCAAACUGCCCAAUGUCAUGACCAAAGACAUCCAAAUUACAAACCCAGAGAAGUUAAUGUUUUCACACUGUAAACAGCUUUUCCCAAGAUGUUGGAACAAGGCUCCAUGUCACAAUGAGAAUUUUAUCCUCCUUAAUGCUACCUUGUUUACUUCGCAGGAUAAUGGUGUAACAGAAACUUUGCCAUCAAUACCUUCUUGCUGGUAACUUAACAAACUCUAACCUAAAAAAAUCCUUUAGGAGCCAUUGAUUAAAUUUUUAAAAAGUCUGUGCUAUUGCUAAUACUACAUGCUGUAUCUAAGUAAAUUAUCUGGGAAAAUUGAGACCCAUGUACACAAAAUAAACAAUCAAGCCACGUAGUUACAACAGAUCUCACCUAAUUCUCUCUGGUCUUUGAUUUAUUCAGCUGUUUGUCUUAAAAAUAAUUAUUUCUAAUUGUUAUGAGUAAGUAAUAAUGUAUAUAUUUGUGGGGUACUUGUGAUGUUUUGAUACAGACACAAAAUGUGUAAUGACCAAAUUAGUGUAAUCAAGGUAACCAUCAGCUCAAGCAUUUGUCAUUUAUUUGUGUUAAGAAUAGUCCAAUUUGGCUGGGUGUGGUGGCUCACGCCUGUAAUCCGAGCACUUUGAGAGGCUGAGGCAGGCGUAUCACAAGGUCAAGAGAUGGAGACCAUCCUGGCCAACAUGGUGAAACCGUGUCUCUACUAAAAAUACAAAUAUUAGUUGGGUGUAGUGGCACAUGCCUGUAAUCCCAGCUACUCGGGAGGCUGAGGCAGGAGAAUAACUUGAACGCGGGAGGUGGAGGUUGCAGUGAGCUGAGAUCACAUCACUGCACUCCAGCCUGGUGACAGAGUGAGACUCUGUCUCAAAAAAGAAUAGAAAAGAAUAGUCCAAUUCCACUGUUUUAGUUAUUUUGAAAUAUACAAUAAAUUGUUGUUAACUAUAGUCAUCCGAUUUUGGUUCCAAAUACUGAUCUUAUUCAUUACAUACAACUGUAUUUUAGUGCCAUUAGCCAUCCCCACUUUAUCCCUGCCUCCUCACUACCCUUCCAAGCCUCUGGCAACCACCAUUCCACUCUUUAUCACCAUGAGAUUGAUUUUUUUUAGCUUCCACAGAUGAGUGAGAACAUGUGAUAUUUGUCUUUCUGUGCCCAGCUUAUUUCACUUAACAUGAUGUCUUCCAGUUCCAUCAAUGUUGUUGCAAAUGACAAUAUUUUGUUCUUUUUUGUGGCUGAAUAGUAUUCUACUGUAUGUAUAUGCAACACAUUUUCUUUAUCCAUUUGUAGUAGUCAGUCUUCUCUAGAGGGACAGAACUAAUAAAAUAUAUAUAUAUAUAUAUAAAGGGGAGUUUAUUAAGUAUUAACUUACAUGAUCACAGCGUUCCACAAUAGGCUCUCUGCAAGCUGAGGAGCAAGGAGAGCCAGUCCAAGUCCCAAAACUGAAGAACUUGGAGUCCAGUGUUCAAGGGCAGGAAGCAUCCAGCACGGGAGAAAGAUGUAGGCUGGGAGGCUAGGCCAGUCUCUCCUUUUCAUGUUUUUCUUCCUGGUUCAUAUUUGCUGGCAGCUGAUUAGACUGUGCCCACCAGAUUAAGGGUGAAUCUGCUUUCCCUAGCCCACUGACUCAAAUGUUAAUCUCUUUUGGCAACACCCUCGCAGAUACACCCAGGAUCAAUAUUUUGUAUCCUUCAAUCUGAAAAGUUGAUGCUCAGUAUUAACCAUCACAAGUCUACUCCUAGUCAACUUGAACUGAUACACAUCUCCUGAGAUCACACAUAGUCUUCAAAUAAAGACAAUAAUAAGGUCACAAUUACGCCUAACACAAUACAACUAUCCUUCGUACAACGGGAAACGUACCAAUCCCCAAAUACUAUUACAUAAAGUUAACAAUAUUUAAAUGCUGAUAUGAAGUCAAUAAAUCUUAUGUCACAUGAUAAAGGAAAAGGAAAUAAAAUAAAGAUAUUUUCUUAGUACAAGUUUAUACAUGCACAAACAUGUUUUCAGCAAAAGAAGAAGGAAAUACUCAUGACAAUUACAGUCCCUAUUUCUGCACCUAGUCACUUCGUCGUAGCUGGUAUUGAUGACUACCUUCUUCUACUAGCCAUUCUGUGUUCCCUUUGCCUUCAGCAAGCACCUCAGCAGGUUGUGGGUUUUUUCCUGGUGGAGUGACCCAAACCUUCAUUCCUGAGGGGUCUGGGCCAUUUGUAGUCCUGCCUGGAUUGGGCUGUUGUAGUUUUCCAUUGACCUUAAUCACAGGACAUGGUAAUACUAAGAGAUGUCCUAAUGGAUCUCCUGUAUUCCAUGCAUUCUCUUCCUUACCUCCAUUGUGAAGUAGUAGACUGAUUUCAUCUUGAUAGUCUGGGUCAAUCACCACAGCCAAAACUUUAACUCCCUUCUUAGCCUGUUGACUUAAAGGUAGGAGGAGCGCAAAGUGUCCAGGUGGCAAUCUUAACUUCCAGUUUAAUGGAAUCGUUGUUGUGUCUCCUGGUGGCAGUGUUUCUUCCUCUGGAACUAAGACCUCUAGGCCAGCAGAACAUAAUGUUCCAGGAGCAGGAAGCAAAAAUUUUGCUAGUGGAUCACUAGGGGUGAUGGUGAAUGGUGCCACUUCCACUCUCACCCCUUGAUUCCUGGACCCAUGAAUCCUGGCUAUGGGAGAAACAGUACCAUAUAUUGGAUGCUGAUUCAGAGCAUACAUGGUCUUCUGGAGAACUUUGCCCCAGCCCUGCAAAGUAUUGUCACCUAGUUGGCAUUGUAAUUGUGACUUCAAAAGGCCAUUCCACCGUUCUAUCAAUCCAGCUGCUUCAGGAUGAUGGGGAACAUGGUAAAACCAGUGAAUUCCAUUGAGCAUGAGCCCACUGGUUCCCUUCUUUAGCCGUAAAGUGAGUGCCUUGGUCAGAGGCAAUGUUGUGUGAAAUACCAUGACAGCGGAUAAGGCAUUCCAUGAGUCCACAGAUGGUAGUCUUGGCAGAAGCAUUGUGUGCAGGAUAGGCAAACCCAUAUCCGGAGAAAGUGUCUAUUCCAGUGAGGACAAACCUCUGCCUUUUCCAUGAUGAAAGAAGUCCAGUAUAAUCAACCUGCCACCAGGUAGCUUGCUGAUCACCCCGAGGAAUGGUGCCACAUAGAGGGCUCAGUGUUGGUCUCCGCUGCUGGCAAAUUGGGCACUCAGCAGUGGCCUUAGCUAGGUCAGCCUUGGUGAGUGGAAGUCCAUGUUGCUGAGCCCAGGUGUAACCUCCAUCCCUGCCACCAUGGCCACUUUGUUCAUGGGCCCAUUGGGUGAUGACAGGGGUGGCUGGGAAAAGAGGCUGAGUGGUGUCCACAGAACAGGUUACCCUAUCCACUUGAUUAUUAAAAUUCUCCUCUGGCCUAGUGCAGUGGUUCAUGCCUGAAAUCCCAGCACUUUGGGAGGCCGAGGCGGGUGGAUCACCUAAGGUCAGGAGUUCGAGAGCAGCCUGACCAACAAGGUGAAACCCCGUCACUACUAAAAACACAAAAAUUAACCGGGCGUGGUGGCAGGCGCCUGUAGUCCCAGCUACUCGGGAGGCUGAGACAGGAGAAUUGCUUGAACCCAGGAGGCAGAGGUUGCAGUGAGCUGAGAUUGCACCACUGCACUCCAGCCUGGGCGACCGAGCGAGACUCUGUCUCAAAAAAAAAAAAAUUAUCCUCUGCUGAGGUCACCUGUUGGUGAGUACUCACACAGGAUACAAAUAUCUUCACGAUUUUUGCCCACUCAGAGAGGUCCAUCCGCAUACCUCUUCCCCAAGUUUCUUUGUCAUCAAUUUUCCAAUCAACACUUCUUCCAAGUCCCUGACCAGCCAAACCAUUGGCUACAGCCCAUGAAUCAGUAUAUAAUUGGACAUCUGGCAAUUUCUCCUUCCAUGCAAAGUGCACAACCAGGUGCACUGCUCGAAGUUAUGCCCACUGGGAAGAUAUGCCUUUACCGUUGUCCUUCAGGGAUGUCCUACAAAGGGGCUGGAGUGCUGCAGCUGUCCACUUUCAGGUGGUGCCUGCAUAUUGUGCAGAACCAUCUGUGAGCCAGGCACUAGUCUUCUCCUCCUCUGUCAACUGAUCAUAGGGAACUCCUCAUGAGGCCAUUGGUGCAGGCUGGGGGCGAGAAGGCAGGGUGGCAGGAGUGGAGACCAUAGGCAUUUGAGCCACUUCCUCAUGUAACUUACUUGUGCCUUCAGGACCUGCUCGAGCCCUAUCUCGUAUAUACCACUUCUGUUUGAUGAUGGAAUGCUGCUGGUUGCACGACCCAGUUUAUAACUAGAUGGGUCAGAAAGCACCCAGUUCAUGAUAGGCAGUUCAGGUCACAGGGUGAGUUGAUGACUUAUAAUCAAACGUUCAAUUUGCACCAAAGCCCAGUAACAGGCCAAGAGCUGUCUCUCAAAAGGAGAGUGGUUAUCUGAAGAAGAUGGUAGGGCCUUGCUCCAAAAUCCUAGAGGCCUUCACUGUGAUUCACCUAUGGGGGCCUGCGAAACGCUCCAAACAGCAUCCCUAUCUGACACCGACCCCUCAAGCACCAUUGGAUCUGCUGGGUCAUAUGGCCCAAGUGGCAGAGCAGCUUGCACAGCAGCCUGGACCUGUGUGCUGAGAAGGCCUUGCAGAGCCUUCUCCUGUUCUGGAUCCCACUCAAACUGGCAGCCUUUCAGGUCACUCGAUAAAUGGGCCAGAGUAAUACACCCAAAUGAGUAAUGUGUUGCCUCCAAAAUCCAAAUAGACCCACUAGCCGUUGUGCCUCUUUCUUGGUUGUAGGAGGGGCCAAAUGCAGCAACUUGUCCGUCACCUUAGAAGGAAUAUCUUGACAGGCCCCACACCACUGUACCCCUAGAAAUUUUACUGAGGUAGAAGUUCCCUGAAUUUUACUUGGAUUUAUUUCCCAUCCUCUGGUAUGCAAAUGUCUCACUAAUAAGUCCAGUGUGUUUGCUACUUCUUGCUCACUGGAUCCAAUCAGCAUACUGUCAUCAAUGUAAUGGACUAGGGUGAUAUUUUGCAAAAGCAAAAAGUGAUCAAGAUCUCUUUGAAUCAAAGCUGGAGCAUUGAUGUACCCCUGAGGUAGGACAGUAAAGGUAUAUUGCUGGCCUUGCCAGCUAAAGGCAAAUUGCUUCUGGUGGGCCUUUUGGACAGGGAUUAAGAAAAAGGCAUUUGCCAAGUCAAUGCCUGCAUACCAGGUACUAGGAGGUGUGUUAAUUUGCUCAAGCAAUGAAACCACAUCUGGUACAGCAGCUGCAAUUGGAGUCACCACUUGGUUAAACUUAUGAUAAUUCACUGUCAUUCUCCAAGAUCCAUCUGUCUUCUGCACAGGCCAGAUGGGAGAGUUGAACAGGGAUGUGGUGGAAAUCACCACCCCUCCAUCUUUCAAGUCCUUGAUGGUGGCACUAAUCUCCGCAAUCCCUCCAGGGGAAAGAUACUGUUUUUGAUUUACUAUUUCUGUAGGUAGAGGCAGCUCUAAUGGCUUCCAUUUGGCCUUCCCGCUUAAUAGCCCUCACCCUACCAGUGAGGCAGCCAAUGUGGGAGUUCUGCCAGCUCCUAAGUAUAUCUAUGCCAAUGAUGCAUUCUGGCACUGGGGAAAUGACCACAGGAUGAGUCCAGGGGCCCACUGGACCCACUGUAAGUCAGACCUGAGCUAAAACUCCAUUAAUUACCUGACCUCCAUAAGCCCCUGCUUUAACUGGAGGACCACAAUGAUGUUUUGGGUCCCCUGGAAUCAACGUCAGCUCAGAGCCAGUGUCCAGUAUUCCCCCAAAUGUCUGAUCAUUUCCCUUUCCCUGAUGCACAGUUACCCUGGUAAAAGGCCAAAGGUCUCUUUGUGGAAGGAUGGGAGAAAGAUUCACUGCAUAAAUUGUUGGUAAUGGGCUGGACACAGUGGCUCACAUCUGUAAUCCCAGCAAUUUGGGAGGCAGAGGCGGGCGGAUCACCUGAUGUCAGGAGUUCAAGACCAGCCUGGCCAACAUGGUGAAACCCCGCUUCUACUAAAAAUACAAAAAUUAACCAGGCCUAGUGGCACACGCCUGUAAUCCCAGCUACUCAGGAGGCUGAGGCAGAAGAAUCGCUUGAACCUGGGAGGCGGAGUUUGCAGUGAGCCGAGAUCAUGCCAUUGCACUCCAGCCUGGGUGACAGAGCAAAACUCUAUCGCAAAAAAAAAAAAAAAAACAUUGUUGGUAAAGUAGUGGAGACCUUCCUCAAAGGGACCUGGCCUCCCCUUUAUUCAAGGAGCUCUGGGUUGUGAAUUGGCUCAAGUCUGGAAAUUGAUUGAGGAGCCGUGAUUCUCUGUUUUUAUAAUUCAAAUCAGUGUUUUGUCCAUUCAACCUAGACAUUUCCUGCUAGUGUAAAUUUAGUAGGAAUGGAGUAGGCUUCCUAUCAAUUUCACUUCUAGGAGCACCGUGAUUAAUUAGCCAAUGCCAGAGCUCUACACAAGUCAAACUAUUCUGAUUGCUGUUUUGCCUCUGCUGUCCAUUAUGGUAGCUAUGCCCACCUUGUCUUUGACAGUUGAGUGCCACCACUUGGCCCCUGUGACCUCAGAAUUCAGUUAUUUCCAUUGUAUUUAUUUUUUAUUUUUAUUUUUAUUUCUGAGACAGAGUCUUGGUUUAUCGCCCAGGCUGGAGUGCAGUGGCUCAAUCCUGGCUCACUACAACCUCCACCUCCCAGGUUCAAGCAAUUCUCCUGUCUCAGCUUCCCAGUAGCUAGGAUUACAGGCACCCGCCACCACGCCUGGCUAAUUUUUGUGUUUUUAGUAGAGAUGGGGUUUCACCAUGUUAGCCAGGCUGGUCUUGAACUCUUGACCUCAGGUGAUCCACCCACCUUGGCCUCCCAAAGUGCUGGGAUUACAGGCAUGAGCCAAACUGCCUGACCUAUUUCCAUUGUAUUUAAAUUUUGUAGUUGAGUGACUGUGGUUGCCACUCUUAGAUCUGACAUACAGAGAAGAGGAAUGACAGGGCUCUUCAAAGAUACAGGUGCUGCCCUCAGAAAUCUAUUUAGCAAGGCAUUGGUCAAGGCUAUAUCUUCUGGAUCCUCCCAGCUGGGAUGAGUAGGUCUAAAGUCACUAAUGCACUCCACCAUCCCAAUCUCCCUAAGCCAUUUGAUCCCUUCCUCUACAUUAAACCAAGGGAAAUCAGGCAUUUUAGCACACUCACAGUGGACCAUAUUUUAAUACAUAUUUCUGCUAACCAAGCAAGUAAACAAUUAGAACCUUUUUUAACUCCCCAAGCUGCAACAUUAAAAGCAGAGUCCUUACUUAGUGGGCCAAAUCAAUAAAUUCAGCCUGAUCCAAUUCUAUGUUUCUUCCACAAUUAUCCCAUAUCCUUAGUAUCCAUUCCACUGCCUGUUCUCCGGGUUUCUGUUUCUAUAAAUUAGAGAACUCAAACAGCUCCUUUCGAGUGUAGUGCACCUCCUCAUGGGUCACACUCUCAACCUCACAUCUAGGGGCCCACUAGGACUUUAGUCUCAUUAUAGGUCUUGAAGCAAACAGAGGUGUUGGGGGUAGCUCCUGAAGAGAAUCAACAUUAUCUUGCCUGGCAGCUGCCUCAGGGGAGGCCAUCGCUAUUGCCUCAGGCAGUGCAGGGUUUAUCUCCUUAGACAAAGGUGGAAAGGCUGAUGGCAGCAUGGGUCGAGGAGAGGAUGCUGCUACUACUGGGGAUGGGGAAGCUGUUCCUUCUGGCAAAAAACGUUCAUCAGAGUUUACAAACUCAGUGUCCCCGACUUCAUCAGGGUCCUCCCACAAAUCCACAUUCCAAGUUUCAGGGUCCCAGUCUUUUCCCAUGAAUGCCCUCACUUUAACAGUAGACACCUGGCAAAGCUGUACAUGUAUCUUUCAUUGGGGGUCAGCCACUCACAUGUUAAGAGCUUGUAUCUGUUUUUCCACAAUUUCAGUUUUCUCUACAGGAGAUACGACUCUCACUCAGGGCAAUCUUAGCAGAUUUGAGGCUCAGUAUCUGUUUCUGAAGCCAGGAGACAGAAUCCCUGAGUUUAUCAUUUUCUUUCAUCACUUUGUCCAUUGAACUUAGAAGCAACCAACCAGCUUCAUUAUGUUCCUUGGUUCUCCACAUAUGGUCAAAGAUAUUAUGUAUAGAGUCACUAAACUCUUUGCCUCUCAUGAGUGGUGAAUCAGGUGUGCCAAAUGCAUUUAUUUUGUAUAACUCUCUAAACAGUUCACACCAAGGACUAUCAGUGUUCUCCAUACUAUUAGAAGUAGAGUCCUUAGCAUUUUUGGGUCUAAUCAUAUUAAGCAGCCAAAUCCAGAAACCCCAAAAAUGAAAGAACUCCAUCCUUAACAUUCUGUUCCUCUAGAACCACUCCUGGUACCAAAAUCUGUAUUAGUCAGGGUUCUCUAGAGGGACAGAAUAGAAGAUACACACACACACACACACACACACACACACACACACACACACACACACGGGAGUUUAUUAAGUAUUAACUCACACGAUUACAAGGAAUCACAAUAGGCUGUCUGCAAGCAGAGGAGCAAGGAGAGACAGUCCGAGCCCCCACAAAUGAAGAACUUGGAGUCCAAUGUUCGUGGGCAGGAAGCAACCAGCAUGGAAGAAAGAUGUAGGCUGGGAGGCUAUCCUUUUCACGUUUUUCUGCCUGCUUUACAUUCGUUGGCAGCUGAUUAUAUUGGGCCCACCAGGUUAAGGGUGAAUCUGCCUUCCUCAGUCCACUGACUCAAAUGUUAGUAUCUUUUGACAACACCCUCACAGCCACACCCAAGAUCAAUACUUUGUAUCCUUCGAUCCAAUCAAGUUAACACUCAGUACUAACCAUUAUACCAUUCAUCCAUUGAUGGAAAAGCAGUUGAUUUCAACCUGAUUUGGGGUAUCUAAUUAUUAGGGUACUUGAUAUAAUAAAUUUUUAAAUGUAUCAGGAAGCUAAAGAACGAGUCAUGAAUAAACAAAAAAUAUUCAUUAUACCAUAUGGAUACCAUAGCAUAUUUCAUCCAUUCUAAAAUGUGGAUGAAAUAUGGGGAAAAAGUAGGGGAACCUCUACUUCUCAACUUAACAUCUGAAACUGGGAUCAGUUGUAUAACACUUGUUAGUAAUUGCCUCUGCAUGUGCAUCAUAACUUGCAGAAUGGCCGUCGCCCACUUGGCAGAAAUUUCUUGAGUCCAUAACAGAAUGCCCUUAAGAAAUACCUCAUCACCAACAUUCUUGAUGGUCAGAUGUUGAUAUUUGUUAAGGUCUUUAAAGAGUCUGAGAUUUUACCCUCCUCGCAAGCUAACAAGCUACCUGUUAAAUUGUGUGGAUCUAAGCAUGGGGUGGAUGCUGGCAGAAAACAUGAGACUCCAGGGGUUAGAGAAAAAAGGCUGCAUUUUUCAAGUCAAAAGCAAUAGGCAGAAUGUUCAGGUGAUGUUCAUGAGGUUUCCCAAGCCUCCCAAUUCCCACAGGGACAACACAGGUGGCCUAGAUGGACAAAUUGGGUUGUGUUACAGGAGAAAAAAGUUGAGCUGGGAGAUUUAUCAUUUUUACAGUGAGUGGCAAAUAGGCUGGCUCACUGUUGGGACAUUACCUCAGCAAACACCACCCUAAGAAAUAGCUAAGGAAGGAGUGGUCAGGGCCUUGCAUUCUUGGCAUACCCUGCAAGGGCGUGGGGCACUCAAGGUCAUGGUGUAGUCUUUCCCAUCAAUAUUGUGUUAGAAAACAGACAUCAGUAUCUGAAUUCAAAAAUGGUUUAGAAGAAUUAGUCUAUCAAUAUAAAAUUAUUUUUAAUAUACCUUAACUAAUUUAUUUAGUUUCUGUUUUCUUUUUAUGAAUGUACAACAAUAAUAUGAUAAAAAUCUAUCUUAAUAAUCUAAAGAACUCUUUCAAUAAAUGUAAAAUAAAAAUUCUUUUUUUUUUUUUUUUUUUGAGAUGGAGUCUCACUCUGUUGCCAGGCUGGAGUGCAGUGGCACGAUUUUGGCUCACUGCAACCUCUGCCUCUCAGGUUCAAGCGAUUCUCCCGACUCAGCCUCCUGAGUAGCUGGGACUAUAGGCACUUGCCACCACGCCCAGCUAAUUUUUUGUAUUUUUUGUAGAGACGGGGUUUCACCAGGUUGGCCAGGAUGGUCUCCAUCUCUUGACUUCGUGAUCCACCCGCCUCGGCCUCCCAAAGUGCUGGGAUUACAGGCGUGAGCCACCGCGCCCGGCCAAAAUAAAAAUUCUAAAUGACGAGAAUGAGAAUUCAUUGUCAGUUUAAGUUUAAUUGGCAACAUUUUUUCUUUCUUUUCUUUUCUUUUCUUUUCUUUUUUUUUUUUUUUGAGAUGGAGUCUCACUCUGUCACCCAGGGUGGAGUGCAGUGGCACAAUCUUGACUCACUGCAACCUCUGCCUCCCACGUUCAAGCGAUUCUCCUGUCUCAGCCUCCGGAGUAGCUGGGACUACAGGCGCCCACUACCACGCCCGGCUAAUUUUUGUAUUUUUAGUAAAGGCGGGGUUUCACCAUGUUGGUCCGACUGGUCUCAAACUCCUGAACUCAUGAUCCGUCUGCCUCAGCCUCCCAAGGUUCUGGGAUUACAGGCGUGAGCCACCGUGCCCGGCCUACAUUUUUUCUUUCUUGGUAAUUCAUAAACUGAUGGUGUCUUAAACUGAUGAUGUCUUGCAAUUGAUGACAUUUGAGACUAGAUUAAAUAUUUAAUGUUUCUCAUUAUUAUGUAUGCGAUUUAUCUCACUGUAAUUUCUAAUUUUUAUUGUUGGAAUGUGGCAAUACAGUUUAGUCAAUUUACCUUGCAGUUUUGCUAGUUCUCUUAUUCUAUUAUUUUAUCAAAUUGUUUUUGGUAGUUCACUUGGUUUUUCAAAAUAUGCAAUCAUGUUGCCUUCAUAUGGAAAUAUUGUUUACAUUUUUACUUGACCAGCCUGGGUAACGUGGUGAAACCCCAUCUUAAAUACAAAAAAAAAAAAAAAAAAAUUAACCAGACAUGGUGGCAUGUGCCUGUAGUGCCAGCUACUCAGGAAGCUGAGGUGAGAGGAUCACUUGAGCCUGGGAGGUUGAGGCUACAAUAAGCCCUGAUUGCACCACUGCACUCCAGCCUGGGUGACAGAGUGAGACACUGUAAACAAACAAACAAACAAACAAACAAACAAAUACCAGCAUCUGCAUUAUUGUGUUCACUGGAAAUGGUGUGGUUGUAUAGACUCUAGCCCUUUCUCUUCAGUAUAUGAAUUAACAGAACAAAUACACUGGCAAAAAUAGUAACUGUGAUAAAAUGUGAAAACAAUGUAUAAUUUGAUUUGCAAAAUUCUAUAACUUGUAAAAGAUGGUGUUGCCAUAGUCUGGAUAUUAAAUCUUGUUUUUAAACACAUGGAAUUUAGGAAUUAAUGUGAAUUUAAAUCACUCCCUAUAAGUGAUAUAAUCAUAUAAUUAUGUCCUUUUGUCUCCAUUUAGGUGACCUAGUACAUUAAUAAUUUUAAAAUUAUAUCAAAUUAUCUUUCAUUAUACAAUAUGUAUCUUAAUCUGCUCAGCAAACAAUUGGUAAGUCUCCAAUUACUUGUAGACUACUUGUUAGACUGGGAAACUGAUACAAAGGUAAACAAGACACAGUGUUUCCCCUUUAAAAAAAAAGUCAUAGGCCAGGUGUGGUGGGUCCCCUCUGUAAUCCCAACACUUUGGGAGGCCGAGGCAGGUGGAUCAGGAGGUCAGUGGCCGGUUCCUGCCUUAACUGAUGACAUUACCUUGUGACAUUCCUUCUCCUGGACAAUGAAUAUCAGAAGCUCCCCACCGAGCACCUUGUAACCCCCGCCCCUGCCAGCAAGAGAACAACCCCCUUUAACUGUAAUUUUCCACUACCUACCCAAAUCCUAUAAAACUGCCUCACCCUUGUCUAUCUCCCUUUGCUGACUCCUUUUUUGGACUCAGUCCGCCUGCACCCAGGCGAUUAAAAAGCUUUAUUGCUCACACAAAGCCUGUUUGAUGGUCUCUCUCCACAUGGACGUGUGUGACAGGAGUUCAAAACCAGCCUAGCCAACAUGUUGAAAUCCCAUUGCUACUAAAAAUACAAAAAUUAGCCAGGCAUGGUGGUGGGCACCUGUAAUCCCAGCUACUCAGGAGGCUGAGACAGGAGAAUUGCUUGAACCUGGGAGGCAGAGGUUGCAGUGAGCCAAGAUCAUGCCACUGCACUCCAGGCUGGGCAACAAAGAGUGAAACUCAGUCUCAAAAAAAAAAAAAAAGUUGUAUGUUUAAAUGCUUGAGCAUUUAAAUAUUAGACAUUAAGUGAUUCAUAAUAAUUCAGUCAAAUAGUGUUUAGUUUUUUAUUUCUACAUUUUAAUAGUAAAAUGUAUAUGUACAGAAGUAUAUAUAAAAUAUGUAUGUAAAGUUAAUAAAAUAUGGAGUAAACAUCAUGAAAAUACCACCGAGGUCAAGAAAGAGAAGAUUGCUAGCUUUCUCUUUCUCAGAGAAGAUUGCUAGCUUGUCGUGCUCCUUGGAGGUAAGCAUUUAGACUUUUUUUUUUUUUUUUGACACAAUCUCACUCUGUCACCAAGGCUGGAAUGCAGUGGUGUCAUCAUAGCUCAUUGCAGCCUUGACCUCCCUGGCUCAAGUGAUCCUCCCACCUCAGCCUCCCAAGUUGCUGGGAUACCACCAGGUGGCUAAUUUUUUUUUUUUUUAAAUAAAGGUAGGGCCCAGGCUAUGUUGCCCAGGCUAGUCUCAAACUGCUAGGCUCAAGUGAGCCUCCUGCUGUGGCCUCCCAAAUUGCUGGGAUUACAGACAUGAGCCACUGUACCUGGCCCAUUAGACCAAAUUUUAUGAUAUCUUUUGUUUCUCUAUGGUUUUUGCCAAUUAUGUAUACAUAUCUAAACAAUAUGGGGCAGGGUUAUUAUUAUUAUUUUUGCUCUGUUUGAAAUGUGAGUAAAUGGAGUCGUAGUGCAGAUACUCUUUUUGUUACUUAAUUAUUUCACUUAACAUAUUGUUGCUUAUCAUGCCAUGGUUGUCCAUUGCAUGAAUACACCACAGUUUAUUAUUUAUUCAUCUAAUUAUGGAAAUUUUUAUUGUUUCCAGUUUGGGGCUAGUAUGAGUGAAGCUGCUCUGAACGUUAUUGUGCAAGUUUUUCUGUGGACGUAGGUUUUUAUUUCUCUUGAGUAACUAUCGAGGAGCAAAUCACUAGGGAUUUCUGAGUUACAUGAAUACAUGGUUAACUUUAAAAGAAACUGCCAAACCGUUUUUUUUCCUUUUUUUUUUUUUUUGAGAUGGAGUUCCACUCUUGUUGCCCAAGCUGGAGUGCAAUGGCGUGAUCUCAGCUCACUGCAAUUUCCACCUUCCUGGUUCAAGCGAUUCUCCUGCCUCAGCCUCCCAAGUAGCUGGGAUUACAGGCACACACCACCACUCCUGGCUAAUUUUUUUUAUAUUAUUAGUAAAGACAGGGUUUCAUCAUGUUGACCAGGCUGGUCUUGAACUCCUGACCACAGGUGAUCCGCCCACUUCGACCUCCUGAAGUGCUGGGAUUACAGGCGUGAGCCACUGUGUCAGACCUAAACCGUUUUCCAAAUUGGCUGUACUAUUAUUUUGUAUUCAAACUAACAACAUAUGAGUUCCAGUUACUCCACAUCCUUGCCAAUGCUAGAAAUGGCCAAUCUUUUUAAUUUGAGUAACUUGUGGAUGUGUAGUCACACAUCUUAUUAUACUUUCAAUUUGCCUUUCUCUACUGAGUAACAAUGUUGACCAUUUUCUCAGUGCUUAUUGCCAUCCAUGUAUCUUCUUGGACAAAGUAGCCAAAUCUUUUGCCCAUUUUUUUUUGGAAGGGUAGGGGCUGUCUCCUUAUUGAAUUGUGAGAUUAUUAUAAAUAUAUUAUGUAUUAUUAUUAUUUUUGAGACUGAGUCUAGCUCUUUUGCCCAGGCUGGAGUGCAGUGGAGUGAUCUCCACUCACUGCAGCGAUUCUCCUGCCUCAGCCUCCUGAGUAGCUGGGACUACAGGCGCCCACCACCGCGCCCAGCCAAUUUUUGUAUUCUUAGUAGAGACAGGGUUUCACCAUGUUGGCCGGGCUGUGCUUGGACUCCUGACCUCAAGUGAUCUGCCCACCUCAGCCUUCCAAAGUGCUGAAAUUAUAGAUGUGAACCACAGUGCCCGGCCAGUAUUAUAUAUAUUUUAGAUACAACUACUUUAUAUCUAUAGUUUGUAAAUAUUUUAUUCCAGUUUGUAGUUUGCCUUUUCAGUUUCUUUCGAAGAGCGGAUGUUUUUCAUUUUGACAAAAUCCAAUUUAGCAACUUUUUCCUGAUUAAAGUUUUUGUGUUCUGAGAAAUCUGCCUGGCUGGGUGCAGUGGCUCAUGCCUGUAAUCCCAGCACUUUGGGAGGCCGAGGUGGGUGGAUCAUCUGAGGUCAGGGGUUCGAGACCAGCCUGGUCAACAUGGUGAAACCCUGUCUCUACUAAUAAUACAAAAAAAUUAGCCGUGCAUGGUGGCGCAUGCCUGUAAUCCCAGCUACUCGGGAGGCUGAAGCAGGAGAAUCGCUUGAACCCAGAAGGUGGAGGUUGCAGUGAGCUGAGACCACGCCACUGCUCUCCAUUCUGGGUGAUAGAUCGAGACUCUGUCUCCAAAAAAAAAAAAAAGAAAGAAAGAAAGAAGGCUAGGCUCCGUGCCUCACACCUGUAAUCCCAGCACUUUGGAAGGCCGAGGCAGAUGAUCACCUGAGGUCAGGAGUUUGAGACCAGCUUGAUGAAUGUGGUGAAACCCUGUCUCUACUAAAAAAUACAAAAUUAGCUGGGUGUGGUGGCGCAUGCCUGUAAUCCCAGCUACUUGGGAGGCUAAGGCUGGAGAAUCGCUUGAACCCAGGAGGCGGAGGUUGUGGUGAGCCAAGAUUGUGCCAUUGCACUCCAGCCUGGGCAAGAAGAGCAAAAUUCCGUCUCAAAAAAAAAAAAGAAAGAAAGAAAGAAAUCUGCUCCAACCUGAGGUCAAAAGGAUUUUUCUCCACCAUUUUCCCAUUUUCUUUCAGACAUUUUGUAGCAUAAGCUCUUAUAUUUAGGUCUAUGAUGCAUAUCAAAUUAAUUUUCACAUAUGGUGUGAGGUAAGUGUUGAGGCUAAUUUUUUUCCAUUUGGAUACUCAAUUGUUCCAGCACCAUUUGUUGAUAAGACUAUUCUCUCCCACAGUGAAUUAGCUUCGCAUCUUUGCUGAAAAUUGAUUGUCCGUAUAUGUAUAUAUCUAAUCUGUAUUUAUUCUAUUCCAUUUAUAUUUAUAUCCUUACAUCAAUACAUUAUCAUUAUUACUGUAGCUUUAUAAUAAAAUAUUGAAAUUCACGGUAUAUGUUCUUCAAUUUUAUUCUUUUUCUAAAAUUUUUUUUGGCUAUUCUAGUACUUCUCAUUUCCAUUUAAAUUUUUAAAUCUGCUUGUAAAUUCUAAUUUUAGGACAUUUGUUGGAAAUUUGAUUGGGCUUGCAUUGAAUCAGAACAUCAAUUUGAUGAGAAUCAAUGUUAAUAAACUCAGUGUUUCAACUCAUAAACACAGUAUAUAUAUAUAUUUUGAGAUGGAGUCUUGCUCUGUCUCCAGGCUGGAGUGCAGUGGCACAAUCUCAGCUCACUACAAUCUCCACCUCCUAGGUUCAAGCAAUUCCCCUGCCUCGCACUCCUGAGCUCAAACAAUCCUUCACCUUAGCCUCCCAAAGUGCUGGGGUUACAGGCAUAAACAACUGUACCUGGCCUUCAUGCUACUUUAUUUUUUACGAAUAUAUAUAUAUAUAUACAUUUCUUGAGACAGAGUUUUGCUCCUGUUGCCCAGGCUGGAGUGCAAUGGCAUGAUCUCGGCUCACUGCAACCUCUGCCUCCCGGGUUCAAGUGAUUCUCCUGCCUCAGCCUCCUGAAUAGUUGGGAUUACAGGCACGUGCCACCAUGCCUGGCUAAUUUUGUAUUUUUAGUAGAGAUGGGGUUUCACCAUGUUGGCCAGCCUGGUCUCAAACUCCUGACCUCAGGUGUUCUGCCCACCUCAGCCUCCCAAUGUGCUGGGAUUACAGGAGGGAGCCAUCAUGCCUAGCCCUUGAUGCCACUUUAAAUCAUUAUUUUAUAAAUUUUUAUUAAUUGUUGGUGGUACAUGGAAUUAUAAUUGAUUUUUGUACAUUGACCUUAUAUCCUGCAACGUUGCUAAACUUUGUCCUAGUAGUUCUGCUUACUGGUUAUAGUAUUUUCUGUAUAUUCUAUAGGAUUUUCUACAUAGACAAUCAUGUCUGUCAAUGAAGACACAUUUACUGGCCGGGCGCAGUGGCUCACGCCUGUAAUCCCAGCACUUUGGGAGGCCGAGGCAGCCAGAUCAUGAGGUCAGGAGUUCGAGACCAUCCUGGCUAACAUGGUGAAAUGCUGUCUCUACUCAAAAUACAAAAAGCUAGCAGGGCAUGGUGGCACACGCCUGUAGUCCCAGCUACUCGGGAGGCUGAGUCAGGAGAAUCGCUUGAACCCAGAAGGCAAAGGUUGCAGUGAGCUGAGAUCAUGCCGCUGCACUCCAUCCUGGGUGACAGAGCGAUACUCUGUCUCAAAAAAAAAAAAAAAAAAAAGACAUUUACUUAAGCUUUUCUAAACCAUAUGUCUUACAUUUCUUGUUUGCCAUAUUGUACUGGUCAGGACCUUCAAUACCGUAUUGAAUAGAAGUGGUGAACAGAGACAUUCCUUUUUAGCAUAUUUGAGACAUUUACUCUUUCACCAUGUGCUGAGACCAGCUUGAUCGGGGAGACCCUAACCCAGCGGCGCUAGAGGAAUUAAAGACACACACACACAGAAAUAUAGAGGUGUGAAGUGGGAAAUCAGGGGUCUCACAGCCUUCAGAGCUGAGAGCCUUGAACAGAGAUUUACCCACAUAUUUUUUAACAGCAAGCCAGUCAUUAGCAUUGUUUCUAUAGAUAUUAAAUUAACUAAAAGUAUCCCUUAUGGGAAACGAAGGAAUGGGCCAGAUUAAAGGAAUAGGUUGGGCUAGUUAACUGCAGCAGGAGCAUGUCCUUAAGGCACAGAUCGCUCAUGCUAUAGUUUGUGGCUUAAGAAUGCCUUUAAGUGGUUUUCCGCCCUGGGCAGGCCAGGUGUUCCUUGCCUUCAUUCUGGUAAACCCACAACCUUCCAGGGUGGGUGUUAUGGCCAUCAUGAACAUGUCACAGUGCUGCAGAGAUUUUGUUUAUGGCCAGUUUUGGGGCCAGUUUAUGGCCAGAUUUUGGGGGCCUUGUUCCCAACAACCAUGAAGUUUGAUUUUAGCUGAAUGUUUUCCAUAGGUGUCAUUUAUCAGGCUAAGUUCCCUUUUAUUCCUAGGUUGCCGAGAGCUUGAUUAUGAUGUGUCCAUGGUGGUUUUGUCUAUUCUGCUCUGGGUUCAUUGAGUUUCCUGGAUCUGUAAGCUUAUAGUUUUCAUCAAAGCACAGUAAGUGAAUGGUAUGCAAUGCAGGUGGACUGAGGUGCCUACUAUAUCUGAUGUGCAUAGCUGAGAUCACAUGUAUGCCCAGCAUCCAAUUCUUUAGGAAAGCAUUUCUUUCCUAUUCCAUAUGGUUUGCAUGACCACUAUGCCCCAAGACUAGUCCAUGACUCAAGCUGGACUCGUUGAUCAGAGCCCUUCCUAGGACUUCUCUGUUAACUGUAUCUCCAGGUUAGAGCUAACAGGAUGUAACACUGCCCAUACUCUCCCAGGAGUCACAGGUAGACAAAUUGCAAGAGCAGAGUGACAUGAAAAGAGAGGAACUGAGCUAGAGAAGGCCCUGAAAAUAUUGAGGCUGGGGAUGUAGUCAGGUGGAAGUUGCCUAUACAUGGACAUUUUAGUUUUGAGGGCCAAUAAAUUAUUCUUUUGCUAAAACUAACAUGAGACUUUUGUUAUUUUUAUUUUUGCUCAACUAAAAUGCAGUGCUUAUAAUGCCACACUAGGAAUCUGUAAUUUCUUGAGGAAAAAGGUAGGAGUAUAUUUAGAGUUACAUUUUUUUUUUUUGAGACAGAGUCUUGCUCUGUCACCCAAGCUGGAGUGCAGUGGUGUGAUCUUGGCUCAGUGCAACCUCUGCCUCCCAGGUUCAAGCAAUUCUUCUGACUCAGCCUCCCGAGUAGCUGGGAUUACAGGUGCCCACCACCAUGCCUGGCUAAUUUUUGUGUUUUUUAGUACAGAUGGGGUUUCACCAUUUUGGUCAGGCUGGUCUCGAACUCCUGACCUAACGAUUCACCCCCCCUUGGCCUCCCAAAGUGCUGGGAUUACAGGCAUGAGCCACCAUACCUGGCUACAUUUUUUAAAGGAAUAUAAAACUACUUCUUGACCACUGUUCACCAGUAUUCACAAUAAACAAUAUACAAUUGGAAUAACACUCUGACUACUACAAAAUUAUUUUUCCUGGCUUCUGGUGAACCAGUAAAAUGAAUAUAGAAAAGAGUGUAAGGGAUGAGCAGGGAUAAAGAAAAAACAUCCAGAUCAAUAGUUUAAGAUAAAGCUUUGUUCUUCCAGGUCCUAAACUGCAACCAUCUCUAACCAUCUGAUUAGGUUUCCAUGAACCAAGCCUCAGAUCGUCCAUGAAUCAUGACCAUUGAGUCAACAUAGCACAGGGAUUUCAACUUUUUGUAAAGAAAAUGUUCACGAGGUGAAUCUUUACAUGUUCAUUUUAGUCUUGUUUAAAACACACCAGGCUUUGUCUAGUUUCCUCUUCUGGGUGGGGAGGUUGUUGGCAGUGAUAAAAUUUUUCCUUUCAGGAAUUCUGUAAAUAAACCGUUAUGUUUAUGACUACAUGUAUAGAUUCUGAUUAGGUGCUGUAUUAGUCCAUACUCACACUGCUGAUAAAGACAUACCUGAGAUGGGGCAAUUUACAAAAGAAAGAGGUUUAAUGGACUUGCAGUUCCAAGUGGCUGGGGAGGCCUCACAAUCGUGGUGGAAGGCAAGGAGGAGCAAGUCACAUCAUACGACGAUGGCAGCAGGCAAAGAGAGAGCUUGUUCAGGGGAGCUCCUCUUUAUAAAAUCAUCACCUCUCAUGAGACUUAUUCACUAUCACAAGAACAGUACAGGAAAGACUUGCCCCUAUGAUUCAAUUACCUCACGCUGGGUCCCUCUCACAACACAUGGGAAUUCAAGACAAGAUUUGGGUGGGGAAACAGCCAAAUCAUAUCAUUCCACCCCUGGCUCCUCCUAAAUCUUAUGUCCUCACAUUUCAAAACCAAUCUUGCCUUCCCAACAGUCCCCCAAAGUCUUGACUCAUUUCAGCAUUAACUCAAAAGUCCACAGUCCAAAGUCUUGUCUGAGACAAGGUAAGUCCCUUCCAGCUAUGAGCCUGUAAAAUCAAAAGCAAGUUAGUUACUUCCUAGAUACAAUGGGGGUACAAGCAUUGGGUAAAUACAGAUUCCAAAUGGGAGAAAUUGGCCAAAACAAAGGGACUACAGGCCCCAUCCAAGUCAAAAUCCAGCAGGGCAAUCAAAUCUUUUUUUUUUUUUUUUUUUUUGAGACAGAGUCUCACUCUGCCUAGAAUGCAAUGGGCGAUCUCGGCUCAGUGCAACCUCCACCUGCCAGGUUCAAGCAAUUCUACUGCCUCAGCCUCACAAGCAGCUGGGAUUAGAGGCACAUGCCACCAGACCCAGCUAAUUUUUUGUAUUUUUAGUAGGGACGGGGUUUCACCAUGCUGGCCAGGCUGGUCUCAAACUCCUGACCUCAAGUGAUCCACCCACCUCUGCCUCCCAAAGUGCUGGGAUUACAGGCAUGAGCCACUGCGCCAGGCUGGGCAGUCAAAUCUUAAAGCUCCAAAAUGAUCUCCUUUGACUUCAUGUCUCACAUCUGGGUAACACUGAUGCAAGAGGUGAGUUCCCAUGGUCUUGGACAGCUUCACCUGUGGUUCUGCAGGGUAGAGCUUCCCUCCCGGCUGCCUUCAUGAGCUGGCAUUGAGUGUCUGCGGCUUUACCAGGUGCACGGUGCAAGCUGUCAGUGGAUCUACCAUUCUGAGGUCUGGAGGACAGUGGCCCUCUUCUCACAGCUCCACUAGGCAGUGCUCCAGUAGGGACUCUAUGUGGGGGCUGCAGCUCCACAUUUCCCUUCUGCACUGCCCUAGCAGAGGUUCUCCAUGACAGCCCCGCCCCUGCAGCAAACUUCUGCCUGGGCAUCCAGGCAUUUCCAUACAACUUCUGAAAUCUAGCCGAAGGUUUCCAAACCUCAAUUAUUGACUUCUGUGCACCCGCAGGCUCAACACCAUGUGGAAGCUACCAAGGCUUGGGGAUUGUACCCUCUGAAGCCACAGCCCAAGCUGUACUUUGGCCCCUUUUCAUCAUGAGUGGAGCGGCCAGGACACAGGGCACCAAGUCCCUAGACUACAUACAGCAUGAGAACCCUGGGCUGGGACCAUGAAACCAUUUUUUCCUCCUAGGCCUCUGGGCCUGUGAUGGGUGGGGCUGCCGUGAAGACCUCUAACAUGCCCUGGAGACAUGUGAUUAACAUUCAUCUCCUGGUUACUUAUCCAAAUUUCUGCAGCCAGCUUGAAUUUCUCCUCAGAAAAUGUGGGAAAGUUAAAAGCUACUUAGAGACUUGUUGAAUGGCUUUGCCCAAAAUGCUGAUAGCGAUAUGGACAAUAAGGUCCAGGCUGACCUAGUCUCAGAUGUAAAUGAGGAACUUGUUGGGAAUUGGAGCAAAGAUGACAAAGAUAACUCUUGUUAUGUUUUAGUGAGGAGACUGGUGGCAUUUUGCCCCUGCUCUAGAAAUUUGUGGAACCUUGAACUUGAGAGAGAUGAUUUAGGGUAUCUGUCUUCUUCUAAGCCCUCCAAACUGUCCCAAACUCUGUGUGUUACCCAGUUCCAAAGGUGCUUCCACAUUUUCAGAUAUAUUUUCAGCAAUGCCCCACUCUACUGGUACCAAUUUACUAUAUUAGUCAAUUUUCAUGUUGCUGAUAGACAUACCCUGGCUCACACCUGUAAUCCCAGCACUUUGGGAGGCAAAGGUGGGUGGAUCACAAGGUCAGGAGUUCGAGACCAGCCAGGCUAAUAUGGUGAAACUGCCCCCCGCCCCCGUCUCUGCUACAAAAAUUAGCCUGGCAUGCUGGUGAGGACUUGUAGUCCCAACUACUCAGGAGGCUGAGGCAGGAUAAUUGCUUGAACCCAGGAGGCGGAGGGUGCAGUGAGCCAAGAUCAUGCUCUGGGCGACAGAAUACCCGAGACUGGGUAAUUUAUACAGGAAAGAGGGUUUAAUGGACUUACAGUUACACGUGGCUGGGGAGGCCUCUUAAUCAUGGUGGAAAGCAAGGAAGAACAAGUCAUGCCUUACCUGAAUGGCAGCAGGCAUAGAAAGAGUUUGUGCAGGGGAACUCCUCUUUAUAAAACCAUCGGAUCUCAGGAGAUUAAUUUACUAUCUUAACAGCACAGGAAAGACUUGCCCCCAUGAUUCAAUUACCUCCCACUGGGUCCCUCCCACAACACAUGAGAAUUCAAGAUGAGAUUUGGGUGGGGACAUAGCCAAACCAUAUCAGGUGCUUUUAAAAUAUCCAAUUUGGCUGGGCAUGCUGGCUCAUGCCUGUAAUCCCAGCACUUUGGGAGGCCAAGGCAGGAGGAUCACUUGAGGUCAACAGUUCAACACCAGCCUGGCCAACAUGGUGAAACCCCGUCUCUACUAAAAAUACAAAAAUCGGCCAGGUGUGGUGGUGCAUGCCUGUAGUCCCCGCUACUCAGGAGGCUGAGGCAGGAGAAUCGCUUGAACC
rnacentral:lncRNA from 1 species